GACGAACGCUGGCGGCGUGCUUAACACAUGCAAGUCGAACGGAAAGGCCCUGCUUUUGUGGGGUGCUCGAGUGGCGAACGGGUGAGUAACACGUGAGUAACCUGCCCUUGACUUUGGGAUAACUUCAGGAAACUGGGGCUAAUACCGGAUAGGAGCUCCUGCUGCAUGGUGGGGGUUGGAAAGUUUCGGCGGUUGGGGAUGGACUCGCGGCUUAUCAGCUUGUUGGUGGGGUAGUGGCUUACCAAGGCUUUGACGGGUAGCCGGCCUGAGAGGGUGACCGGCCACAUUGGGACUGAGAUACGGCCCCGGCUCCUACGGGAGGCAGCAGUGGGGAAUAUUGCACAAUGGGCGGAAGCCUGAUGCAGCAACGCCGCGGGCGGGAUGACGGCCUUCGGGUUGUAAACCGCUUUCGCCUGUGACGAAGCGUGAGUGACGGUAAUGGGUAAAGAAGCACCGGCUAACUACGUG
rnacentral:rRNA from 1 species